UACGUAGGGCGCAAGCGUUGUCCGGAAUUAUUGGGCGUAAAGAGCUCGUAGGCGGUUUGUUGCGUCGGCUGUGAAAUCCCGAGGCUCAACCUCGGGUCUGCAGUCGAUACGAGCAAACUAGAGUGUUGCAGGGGAGACUGGGAAUUCCUGGUGUAGCGGUGGGAAUGACGCAGAUAUCAGGAGGAACACCGAUGGCGAAGGCAGAUCUCUGGGCCGUAACUGACGCUGAGGAGCGAAAGGCGUGGGGAGCGAACAGG
rnacentral:rRNA from 1 species